rnacentral:rRNA from 1 species
CUGAUUUGCUUAAUUGCACCACAUGUGUUUUUCUUUGAAACAAACUUGCUUUGGCGGUGGGCCCAGCCUGCCGCCAGAGGUCUAAACUUACAACCAAUUUUUUAUCAACUUGUCACACCAGAUUAUUACUAAUAGUCAAAACUUUCAACAACGGAUCUCUUGGUUCUCGCAUCGAUGAAGAACGCAGCGAAAUGCGAUACGUAAUAUGAAUUGCAGAUAUUCGUGAAUCAUCGAAUCUUUGAACGCACAUUGCGCCCUCUGGUAUUCCGGAGGGCAUGCCUGUUUGAGCGUCGUUUCUCCCUCAAACCGCUGGGUUUGGUGUUGAGCAAUACGACUUGGGUUUGCUUGAAAGACGGUAGUGGUAAGGCGGGAUCGCUUUGACAAUGGCUUAGGUCUAACCAAAAACAUUGCUUGCGGCGGUAACGUCCACCACGUAUAUCUUCAAACUUUGACCUCAAAUCAGGUAGGACUACCCGCUGAACUUAAGCAUAUCAAUAAGCGGAGGA